rnacentral:ncRNA from 2 species
UAUAAUCGAUGGCGUGUAGGUGCUCUUGUCUAACGCCAUAUUAACUACGGUGACAAGGGUUAAACGGGAAAUCAGUGAAAAGCUGAUGCUGCCCCCGCAACGGUAAACUCAACGCAUUGUCGUUUUCUUUUCAUACGCCACUGUCUUUUAUACGUUUACGCGCGCUCCUGCGUAGCUAAACGCCAAUAGAUGGGAAGGCAAAAGAGCCAUUACAUACUUGGUAAUGGUGAGUAAGCCCGGAUACCGGCCUGUACUUCAUGGUGUCG